rnacentral:tRNA from 1 species
GCGCCUGUAGCUCAGUCGGAUAGAGCAACGGCCUUCUAAGCCGUGGGUCGGGGGUUCGAAUCCCUCCAGGCGCG